rnacentral:tRNA from 2 species
GUCACGAUGAGAAUAACGGGAGUUCGCUGGGAAAUACACUCUCCUUUUUCCCAGAGGUGUGCUGGUUCGAAUCCAGCUCGUGACA